UACGAAGGGGGCUAGCGUUGUUCGGAAUUACUGGGCGUAAAGCGCGCGCAGGCGGUCUUCCAAGUCAGUGGUGAAAGCCCGGAGCUCAACUCCGGAACUGCCAUUGAAACUGUGAGACUUGAGUAUGAGAGAGGUGAGUGGAAUUCCCAGUGUAGAGGUGAAAUUCGUAGAUAUUGGGAAGAACACCGGUGGCGAAGGCGGCUCACUGGCUCAUUACUGACGCUCAGGCGCGAAAGCGUGGGGAUCAAACAGG
rnacentral:rRNA from 1 species